rnacentral:RNase_P_RNA from 1 species
ACACGAAAGAUAAUCGCUGCAGUAAUGUAGAGGAAAGUCCAUGCUCGCACCGCCUGUGAUGGUGGUAGUGUUUGUGUCUGAUGAAACCAUAAGUCAGAGCAUAGAGGCAUCUAUGACGGCAGAUCGAAGUCCUAAGGGAAACUAUGGAUAACGACUUGAAAGUGCCACAGUGACGAAGUCUCUAUCGAAAGGUAGAGAGUGGAACGAGGUAAACCCCAUAAGCGAGAAACCCAAAAUUGGUAGGGGAGCUUGUUGGAGCAAAUCGAAGCAACAACAAGACGCGUAAGCGUAGAUAAAUGAUUAUCAUUAACAGAACAUGGCUUAUUG